rnacentral:lncRNA from 1 species
AUAAUGCUUUAGUAGACGAAGGUCAAGAAGGACAUACCUUCAUCAUUUAAUACGUGAAUAGGAGUACGAAAGAAUGAACAUGAUAACUGCAUCUCAUUAACUCAUUUAUUCUUGCAUUCCAUAAAACAUAAAUGAAUAUCAACAAUGGUAAUAUUACAUUGAUACCUUCGGCUUGCCCGAAGAUGCGGGUGCGAGAAAGUGAAUACAAUCCAGCGUCAACAGUACGGGGUUACUGUUCAUCUAUUUAUAGGCACGGGACGUAGCCCGGGUAAAAUUACAUCUGUACCCUUAAACGCUUAUUUACAAGCAAAAAAAGCUAAUAAGGUCUAUUUAGUCUUUUAUUUCUUUGCUUGGUUCGAGUCAAAGCUAUUGAGCUUUGGCAUUCUGCAACGUUGGUUGUACACAAAGUCUUCGUUUUGAGAAGCAAAGCCGAGGUUGAUGAUAGCUUCGGCGAGCCUUUGUAUCAUCUUGCCGAAGGUAUUUUUUUCUUGAGGACCUUCGGUGAAGAAGACCCCCCAACAGGACCCUUCCCAAGACUACUCACUUUUGCGGUAGCUAUGUUAUACACAACAAAAAUUAGAAGUAUUUGUACAAAAACGAUGAGUUAGAUGCAUAUUCUUGCCAAUCUAGCCUUAUGGUGCUUUAAGUUUCUUCUAGGGCCACCUAAAGCCAUACCUCCCAUACAAACUAAAACCAUCAUAGAGAAGUGUUUGAAUAAAUUGUGAUCACUAUAUUUUGUAAUAUGCGACUCGUUUGGUUUGUUGAUGAUAUUUGUGAUAUGCUAUUUAUUCCUUUUCAUAUUUUCUGUAUCUUUACAAUGAUGCUAUGAUCAAUACUAGAAGAUCAUUGACACCGUCUAUACUUAAUAAAAAUAGGACAGUUGCAGUUGUACCUCCCUUUCCUUUAGAGUCUCUAUAAGUACACAUUUCACUUGUCACACCUAUAAAUGCGGGACACCUAAUCUACAGUUCGAGUUUCAUGUAGUUUCGUGUUAUUUGAUGACGUUGAAGUCAUUGGCUUACCAAAAAUGAAGAGUGUCGUUGCGAGGAUAAUUGUUAAGUUCCCUAGACACUAUGAUAGCUAACAUUUUAUUCUACAAGACAUCAUUGUGAGUCGCUUCAUCAAACAUUAAAAUAAUGUCAAUAUAGACAUGUAAUUCUCUGACUAAUACGACCUGCAUUCUAAAAUGUCUAGGGAUCAAAUCGAAGCAAUUUCAUAACACGAUAAUGUCCAAUGAUUCGACGCCUUACUCCAAAAAGGAUGUACAUAUACAUUGCAUGGAGUGGCGUUCUGUCUAAACUCGCGGGGCGUGGCAAUUUUGGAAUUUUGGACAUAGUCUAUAAUUGACAUUAGCAACACAUGCUAAUGUGGGGCCAUUCAACUUGCCAAUUCAAUUCCCUCCAUAUCCUAAACAUCUUAUGACAUUUCAUGAGGUGGUCCAACAACCUCAUAAGACGUUUGUAAGUAACGACCAAUACUUCUAUAUAGUUUAUACUUGUACUGACUGCACCCUUUAAAUUAUUCAAAUUUAAUUAACCCCAUGUGAAUUGCUUAGACUUAUUGGCAUAUUUAUUUAUUUGACAGCAUUAGAGCAUGUCGGUGGAAGGCCAUACAUAGAGGCCAUACUAAUGGAUUCCAGGCCACUGAUUCAUAACUACAAUAUUUUUUAAAACAUUGAAAAUUUGUUAGGUAUUAUUCAAACAAUUAAGCUUUAUUUAUAGGUGGGAUAUAAUCAUCAUGGGGAUAUUUACUGACCUCUUACAAUGAAAUGCUCUACGAUGGGUGUUAGCUAGAGACAACAAGAGCAUAAUUAUUGGAACUAUGUUGCGGCGUAACAAGAUACACAAUAAUUUCUCUUUUGCCUAAAAUAUUCUGACAUGUACUUAAUUUUCAUGCUUAUUAAUUCUAUAAUUCUAUACUAUAACAAUAGGAUGCUUGCAAACUUCAGACCACAUCACCAUUCAUUUAAGCCCAGAUCAUACAACACAUUCGACAAAAUGUUAGUAUCCCUAUUUUUGUUUGUCUUUGUGUUCAAUGGUACAUUCGGAGAAGCAUGAAAAGAAUGGGGAAAGAGAGUGAAAUAGGAUACUGCUUUUGACUCCAAUGUAUUUUUGCUUUGCUCCUUCUAGAACAAAAAUAAGUAGAGCUUUUAGAAUGGAGUCACAAAAAAGUGCCUUAAACCUAAAAUGUUGUGGUGCAAGUAAAACAACUUGUUUUAGAAGGAGCAAAGCAAAAAUACAUUGGGAGUCAAAAGCAGUAUUCUAUUUCACUCUCUCCUCCUUCUUUUCAUGUUUCUCUGAAUGUACUAUUAAACACAAAGACAAACAAAAAUAAGGGUACUAACAUUCUGUCGAAUAUGUUGUAUGAUCUAGGCUGAAAUAAACGGUGAUGUGGUCCGAGGUUUGCAAGCAUCCUAUUGUUAUAGUAUAGAAUUAUAGAAUUAAUAAGCAUUAAAAUUAAGUACAUGUCAAAAUAUUUUAGGUAAAGGAUAAAUUAAUGUGUAUCUUGUUACAACAUACUAUAGUUCCAAUAAUUAUGUUUUUGUUUUCUCUAGCUAACACCUAUCGUAGAGCUUUUCAUUGCAAGAGGUCAGUAAAUAUCCCCACAACGAUUAUAUCCCACCUAUAAAUAAAGCUUUGAUUGUUUGAAUAAUACCUAACAAAUUUUCAAUAUUUUAAAAAAGAAUGUAGUUAUGAAUCAGUGACCUGGAAUCCAUUAGUAUGACCUCUCUGUAGGUUUUCCACAGAAAUUCUCUAAUGACGCCAAAUAUAUAAUUAUGCUAAUAACGACUGAGCAAUUCACAUGAGGUUAGUUAAAUUUUAUUAAUUUAAAGGGUUAAGUUGGUACAAGUAUAAACUAUAUGGAAGGACUGGUCGUUACCUACAAACGUCUUAAGAGAUUAUUGGACCACCUCAUGAAAUGGUAUAAGAUAUUUAGGAUAUGGAGAGAAUUGAAUUGGCAUGUUGAAUAGCUCCACAUUAGUAUGUGUUCGCAAGGUCAAUUCUAGACUAUGUCCAAAAUUCCAAAAUUACCACGCCCACAGUUUAGACAAAACGCCAUUCCAUGCAAUGUAUAUGUACAUCUUUGUUGGAGUAAGGCAUCGAAUCAUUGGACAUUAUCAUGGUAUGAAAUUGCUUCGAUUCUUGACCCCUAUACAUUUUAGAAUGAAGGUCAUAUGAGUCAGAGAAUUACAUGGCUAUAUUGACUUUAUUUUAAUGUUUGAUGAAGCAACUCACAGCGAUGUCCUAUAGAAUGAAAUGUUAGCUAUCAUAGCGUCUAGGGAACAUAACAACUAUCCUCACAACAACACUCUUUAUUUUUGGAAAGCCAAUGACUUCAAUGUCAUCAAAUAACAUGAAACUACAAGAAACACAGACUUUUGAUUAGGUGGCCCAUGCAUAAAGGUGCGACAUGUGAAAUGUGUACUUAUGGAGACUCUAAAAGGAAGGGAGGUAUGACUGCAACCGUCCUAUUUUGGUUAAGUACAGAUGGUGACAUUGAUCUUUUAGUAUUGAUCAUAGCAUCAUUAUAAAGGUACAGAAAAAUAAGAAAGGAAUAAAUAGGAUAUCAAAAAUAUCAUCAACAAACCAAACGAGUUGCAUAUUAUAAAAUAUAGUGAUCACAAUUUAUUUAAACAAUUUGCUACGGUUGUUUUAGUGUGUAUGGGGAGUACUGCAUUAGGUGGCGCUAGAAGAAACUUAAAGCACCAUAAAGUAAGAUUGGUAGGUAGAUGCAUUUAACUCAUUGUUUUUGUACAAAUACCUAUAAAUUUUGUUGUGCAUAGCAUAGCUACCGCAAAAGUGAGUAGUCUUGGGAAUGCUCCCUUAUAACAGGGGAAGAGGAAAGACUCAGAAAUAAAUAUUGUGAUAAUAUGUUUGUGGAUUUGAGCAUAUGGAGAACGAAGCAAAAAAUAACAAUAAAAAUCUUGCAAAUUCAUGCUCUUGUUAUCGUCGCUAAAAUCACGGUUACACCUACACGAUAUUAGCACAGAAUAGAAAAUAUAAAAGGAAUUUGUAGAACAUCCCAAUGCAGUCAAGUAAAAUAGGUUACCACCUACACGAUUGAUUUUAUGUCAUGAAGCUCUAGAAUUUUUCUAUGAAGCACAGGAUUCUAUCGAAGAGCACAAGUGAAAUGGGAAAAAAUAGGUACUUGCAGUACUGCUUCUCUACCACUUUUAUUUUCGUAGUGUUCAACCCUAAAACACUAAAAUCAUGGAUAUAAACUACUUACUAUAGACAAGAAUAAAAUUUGCAAACAUUCUAGGUUGGUACAAAAACGAUCCUAAUGCAGUAUUGGAAUAGGGUACCUCCUUUACGACUGAUGUGGUCUCACGGAGUAGGAUCCUCGGGCACCAAAAUCAAAUAGAAACAGGUUACUUGAGCCUAUAUAGAAAGAUAGAGACAUCACUAAUGAUGAAUACAAUAACUCUCAACUCGGAACAAUUAAACCAGUUUCCAGGUGAACAUUAAGUGAUCAGUUUAAGGAUCUUGCAUGGAAAAUCUAACUGCUACUGCAGUUUAACAUCUAGGAAAAUCUAACUGCUAUUUUAGUUUAACAUCUAGGACAAUGAGAUUCCUUGCAUCUUGAUGUUGCUAGCUGCUAAGUGCUUGUUAUUUCAGUUUAACAUAUUGAAAGAACCAGCAAAGAUCAUGAGAUCCCAAAUUAGGUAAAAAUGGAACAUAUGAAUAAGAGUAACUUGACACAUCUCAGCCAAAAAAUUAAAACCCUAAUAAAUCUACUUUGAUCUAGAACCGAGUGAUGUCUAGUUGCAGUCCCCAACGAGAUUAAUCUCUGACCCCUGAUACUUUUAUAUUUCUAGAGAGAUUGGUAUUCUGUUUCAUAUAUGAACCAUCAUGAUUUUCAAUUAACAGACAUCUCUCAUAGACUUGUACCAUGAACCAUAAAUGAAAGAGGCGGACAUCGUUCUACCCCUCACGUGCUACAAACCACAUCCAUGUUAACCAAAUGGUGUUACAACUUGCAAGGUUAAUUUCCCGUUUCCAUAGAAAGACACUAAAUUAAGUAUUAACUGGAAACUACAAGCACAUAUAGGAAGUUACUCUUAUUAGAUCAGUUACAUUCAUCUGCUUGUUUUCCAUGUGUGAAAUAUCUAGUGCCCCAAUGUGACUUUAUAUGUCUAAGAAUGUAAGAAGUAUAUUAAUUUUGAAAUACACUAACAAUAGUCAUAACUGAAAACACAGAAAACACACUGCUAGACACACAAAAUAGGAAGCCAAGUACGUACACAAGAACUAUGUAGAGUCUUGACAAAGUGGUUUUGUCAUGUAAUCAGUAUUUAGCAAUUAUUUUUGUACACAGAAUAGGAAGGCACCAAUUUGAACACACAAGAUUCUGAUCUGGAAUAGCUGGAAGCCUGCAGACCAUAGAUAUGACAAAUAAAAUCCACACAAAAAUUCUAGAUGUAAGUUGUAUCAUUUUUAGGCAAAACAUAUGAAACAAUCAAGGCAAUGGUCUGAAAGGUGUAGUUUCUAUGCUAUUAUUGAAAGGUCAGAGGAAUCAUUGUUAUUUGGUAUUUUCUAAGAUGGAUUCAUUUAUAUUUUUUUAUAAUGAAUUCAUAUACGCUACAUAGUAUUGGUUUCUUUUAGUUUUGGGUAUUUUUUAUUAUGAAUUCCUAGUGAGACUUUCUUGUGCAUUGGCUUACUAUGUUAGCUCUUUCUACUCUUUCGCGCUCAAUAAAAGAUUGUACAUAAUAGUAUGAUAGGGAUUGGCGAUUGAUGACAGUACAAGAUUUUAUUGUUUUGCAAAAAAACUAAAGUGAUUGACCACCAUCUUAACCCAGUUUCCAGGUGAACAUUAAAUGAGGCUCACCUCCUUGGAGGAGACUGAAGAUGAAGCUCAAACUUUUUACCUUUAUCAGUGGGAGUUUCCUGCAACUGUUAAAUUAGAAAGAGUGAGUUGUAUGUAAACAUAUGUAAGAGUCUACCUAAAUGACAUGAUGUUGGUUCUAGCUAAGAUAUGUGCACUAAGAUAUGAAACCUUAUAGUUCUAAUGUUAGUCAUGUACUAUCUAAUAGUGUAAUGAUAUGUUCAGCUAGGGAUUUAGGAAUUUUGCAAAGGAUUGUAAAAAGAACAAAUAAUUGAAUAAAAGGAUGCAUUAACUUUGUGACAAAAAACAAUCCCUUCUCUCACAACAAGUAUUCUUCCACCAGUUUGAGUGAAGCGACUUCGCGACAAGUUGGGCUAUAGUUCUAUCAAACGAAAUAACCAAGGGAAACACUAACAUGUUAAUGUCAAGUGGGAUCUGCACCUUAGGUGUGCUAAGGAUAAAUAGAAACUGAAAUGAACGACAAGCAUGCUUUGCUAUUUCUGAUUUGCAUAUCAUUAUGUAAGGAGAUAUGUAACAAAUAUAUAGAACACCCAUAAAUAGAAACUAAAAUGAACACACCAAUUCAAUGAAAAAAGGUUUCUUAGUAUGAAAACAUGCCACCAACUAAAUUUUUUAAAAAUAAAUAGAAUUGACUGGACUGUACUACCAUCAUUAUUUCCAUGUGACUAGUGCACUCAGCGUGAUAAUCUCAUUAGUUAUUGGCAAUGUCAAUCAUCAGACCUAGAAAAGCACACUAAGAUAACAAUUUUUCAUAUGACCAUGAUCAUGUUGCAGACGAAAUCAAGUGCUAAAAUUGUGGAUCCACAUGAUGUAACAAAAGAAGGGCUACAAAUUUCAUAUAAGCCAAAAUUUGAACUCGCAUUGGUGCAUUUUAGUUGUUAUAAAAUGAGACUUAUUGUAAAAAGGGACAAUGUUGACGCACCUUAUGAGUUGAGCAGAUCUUCGGCAAAUGGAAUGACAGGGAAGAUGCGUUGAGAGUGGGGGUGGGUUGAGAAAAACUGGUCCAUCCUUUUAAUAGGAGUCACAACGAUACCCAUGGGGAAGAUGUUGGGUGGAAGGUUGGGCCGAAUUAGGAAUGCGCGCAUGGAUGGGGGUGCGGAUAGGGGCAUGGUGCAUGCGCAAGUUACCUACUAUGGAAGGGGGCCGCCUACUAUGGAAGCUCCACCUGUGGCACACUAACGAUGUGUAAGGAUUGAAGGUCGCCUCCAUCUAUGGAAGGAGACGCUGAGGUUGGAAGGAGGCGUGCUUCGGAGGCUGGGUCCAU